GAACAAGAGAAGAAAAGGAAAAAGGCCACUACACCAAAUUUUCAAGUUGCCAUGAAAGUUUGGAGAUUAAAUGUUCGAAGCCAGCAAAGAAAGGGGGGCAAAUUAGAUCCAAAUUACCUUGGACCUUAUACAAUUAUUGCAAAGACAGAUAAAAGUGUGGAUCUUGUGGACAACCAGGGAGUCACAAUACCAAAGAUCAGUACCGAUCAUUUAAGUUUGUUUAGGGAGGAGCAACCCAGAGUGCCACGAAAGUUGCUGCCACUAUCAUCCCUGCUGCAACCCUGACCUCUGCAGCCACCACCACUACUGCCGCCACCACUACUGCAGCCACCCCUGCUGCAACCACUUCCUCCACAUCUUUCACCUCUCCAACCACCUUCUGUUCGGCUACAACCUCUGCAGCCACCUCCGCAGCAGCCAGCUCCUCCACAGUCACCAGCUUGUCCUCUAUCGCAGUGGAUCCUUUGAUUAUGAAAAGUGUAAAAGAUGCAUUGAAUGGGGAAAAGAAAUAUUUACUUCUUUCAAAAAUUGGACCAUACAAAUUAUUCUAUGCCGAUGUCUUUAACACAGCUCCUCAGAGAGAAAUAGAGAGUGAGUUUGCUGAGUGCAUCAUGGAUGGGUGUCCAAUAGCAUUUGACAGUUCAGCUUCAGGCAUUAAUGCCACAAGACAGCACAUUGCAGUCUGCCUACUUCAAAAUACAGAUUGGCUGUGACAGCUGUCCAAGGUGGUACCACAACACCUGUGCAAAGAGACCACCGAAAAAGAAAAAGUUCAUUUGUCAGGCCUGCAAGUAAAAACACUCUAAAUGAAAAAAA